GACGAACGCUGGCGGCGUGCCUAAUACAUGCAAGUAGAACGCUGAAGAGAGGAGCUUGCUCUUCUUGGAUGAGUUGCGAACGGGUGAGUAACGCGUAGGUAACCUGCCUUGUAGCGGGGGAUAACUAUUGGAAACGAUAGCUAAUACCGCAUAACAAUGGAUGACACAUGUCAUUUAUUUGAAAGGGGCAAUUGCUCCACUACAAGAUGGACCUGCGUUGUAUUAGCUAGUAGGUGAGGUAACGGCUCACCUAGGCGACGAUACAUAGCCGACCUGAGAGGGUGAUCGGCCACACUGGGACUGAGACACGGCCCAGACUCCUACGGGAGGCAGCAGUAGGGAAUCUUCGGCAAUGGGGGCAACCCUGACCGAGCAACGCCGCGUGAGUGAAGAAGGUUUUCGGAUCGUAAAGCUCUGUUGUAAGUCAAGAACGAGUGUGAGAGUGGAAAGUUCACACUGUGACGGUAGCUUACCAGAAAGGGACGGCUAACUACGUGCCAGCAGCCGCGGUAAUACGUAGGUCCCGAGCGUUGUCCGGAUUUAUUGGGCGUAAAGCGAGCGCAGGCGGUUUGAUAAGUCUGAAGUUAAAGGCUGUGGCUCAACCAUAGUUCGCUUUGGAAACUGUCAAACUUGAGUGCAGAAGGGGAGAGUGGAAUUCCAUGUGUAGCGGUGAAAUGCGUAGAUAUAUGGAGGAACACCGGUGGCAAAAGCGGCUCUCUGGUCUGUAACUGACGCUGAGGCUCGAAAGCGUGGGGAGCGAACAGG
rnacentral:rRNA from 1 species